rnacentral:lncRNA from 10 species
UUUGCUUAUAUGGAAUUUUGCCCAACAGACCUCAUUACAAUUUCUAACCUAUUUUUUUUUUCUGAGACAGGGUCUCCCUCUCUUGUCCAAGGCUGGAGUGUAGUAGUGCUAUCACAGCUGACUGCAGCCUCAACCUUCCAGGCUGAAGCGAUCCUCCCAUCUCAACUUCCCACGUGGCUGAGACUAUAGGUGCUUGCCACUAUGCCCAACUAAUAUUUGGAAUUUUCCUAUAUGUGGAUUCCAGAGGGGUGACAGCGAAACGUGAGUGGGACCAUCCAGUUGCAGGAAAACAAGCUUAACACGCCCACUGAUUCUACAUUAUGCCUCUCCAGGCCCAGAACUUUCUCCAGUCAGCCUCCACAGACCAAGCUCAUGACUCACAAUGGCCUAUUUAGGCCCAUACCCUACCUCACGGCAGUC